AUUGAACGCUGGCGGCAGGCCUAACACAUGCAAGUCGAACGAGUGGCGGACGGGUGAGUAAUGUCUGGGAAACUGCCCGAUGGAGGGGGAUACCUACUGGCAACGGUAGCUAAUACCGCAUACCAUCGGAUGUGCCCAGGUGGGAUUAGCUUGUAGGUGGGGUAACGGCUCACCUAGGUGACGUACCCUAGCUGGGCUGAGAGGAUGACUAGCCACACUGGAACUAAGCAACGGUCCAGAUGCCUACGGGAGGCAGCAGUGGGGAAUAUUGCACAAUGGGCGCAAGCCUGAUGCAGCCAUGCCGCGUGUAUGAAGAAGGCCUUCGGGGUGUAAAGUACUUUCAGCGAGGAGGCGUUACUCGCAGAAGAGGCACCGGCUAACUCCGUGCCAGCAGCCGCGGUAAUAC
rnacentral:rRNA from 1 species